GUGCCAACGGGGCCACUGCCUGAAUGACGGGAAGACCCGGGCGGGACACUCCUCGGCAUCGGAGCCACGGACCUCGGUGGGGCAGCCCCGCAUCACUCUGGCCGGCGCUCCCGGCCGACCUCGGCUUCCCGCCCGCACCGCUCCCGCCCCCCUUCACCGCUCCACUCCGCUCCCGCCGCCAGAGGGGCGGCCAGCGGGCAGGCUCUCCGCUCCAUAACCUCCCUCCGUGGGUACCUAUCUCCGGUUAUUCACGAGCGGGAUGACAAAUCUCCGGGACGGGUGUCUGUCCCGUCCUCCCAGACAGCGCUGCGUCCUCAUCUCGACGGCGGACCGGCCGGCGUGGCAGCACUAAAGUACCUUGAACACUGAAUCACUUGGUCUGCUACGUCGACAGCAAAGAUUUUCUAUCCUCAGACUGAGUAUAAUUGCAGAGGUUUUAAGUCUGGCCCCACAGCAAACAAGCACGCUGAUGUUCGCUACAUGAUCUAAGCACAGGAUGUAUUUGCUCCUGCUGAGCAUACCCAUCUCAGGAGUUUAAACUUAUUAAGGAGACAUUUUUGCACACUCUUCUGCAUUGGGGAAGGGGGGAAUUUUAUUUAAUGGAAACAUCAAAAGAAUCUUCAUGGGAUAUCUGAACUGGUUUUCCUGGAAAGUUGACUAAAAAAUACCUUAUUUGUGAUACACUAAAGAAGCAGUAAAGAUGAUGAUGCAUAUAUUGGCAGAAGAGAGGAGCAACCAGUGGAAAACUUUCUUUCCAAGACUUGUGGUUUCCAUGCUGAAAAUACUGGCACUCUGUCUAUGCAUUCAAUUUCUUCUCAGAACACGUGAACCAGCAACAGGCAGGAGAAUAUAUUUGUCACUCCUCAGUUGAGCGCAGAUACUCUUUGCUUCUUUUUUUCCUUCUCCUGAAGCACAGAGACAUUUAAAGUCCAGAGAUUAGUAGUCCUCAUUCAGCUGAUUUGGUUACAGAAAGCCCAAGAUGAAAUACAGGAGGUGGCAGACAAAGAAUAAGUACUCAGGUCUGGUUUACCACAGUAAAGGUGCAGACCAUGUUUUUCUACAAGGAAUCUAUUUCGGAAAUCUGGGAAGAUUCCCAUACACUGAAUAUACUGAUGCAUGUUUCUUAUGGAUGGUAUAUAGGAGAUUGUGCAAUGAGCUCCGUUGAAAUACAUACAGACUACAGAUACAGAAAUGACUUUGCAGUUAAUGUCAGCCUGAUCGCCAGGGUCUUGUAAUAAGCUUGACAGUUCAUAUAUCUGACAACAGCAGCACAACUGACUCAUCAGUCACAACAGUACUCCUUCUUAUUUAUUGUCCUCUCUCAAGUCUGGAGCACGUGCAAAGGACACCAGAUAUUCUACCAAAAUCAGAUGCAUUUUCAAGUACUUCGUAACUGAACCCACAGAUAAUGCACAGUCAGAUUCUCUCAUUCUACAACAUGGAUCAAAAAUAAAUAAAAAGAGGGAAGAAAACAUCAUUCUGUGAAAAUAAAGUUCUUUGUAAUUCAGUUUCUCUGUAACGUUCCUAUCAAAUGUAAGGUACCCAAUAUCACGUUAAAUAAAUUUAAAAUUGUUUAUAAUACA